UGCCUUAGCUGACAUGUUCAUGGGCUGAAGCUGACCAACAAAUAACCAAGUCUAGUAUGCACAAAAAAAAUGUUAAUUUAGUAGAUCCUUCAAAAUAAAAGCGGUGCUGUUGUAUUGGUUGCAUCAAUUAUGAUGAUUUUCAUUGACUUUUAAUUUUCCAGUGACCUCAUGUGGGCCAAUCAGGGUUGAUGGUAGUAUUUUA